rnacentral:tRNA from 1 species
CGGGGCGUGGCGCAGUCUGGUUUAGCGCGCUUGACUGGGGGUCAAGAGGUCGCUGGUUCGAAUCCAGUCGCCCCGA